UCCCUGGUGGCUCAGUGGUAAAGAAUCUGCCUGCCAAUGCAGGAGACACAGGUUCGAUCCCUGAUCCAGGAA
rfam:Ovis aries breed Texel chromosome 2, whole genome shotgun sequence.